rnacentral:rRNA from 1 species
AUACGGAGGGGGUUAGCGUUGUUCGGAAUUACUGGGCGUAAAGCGCACGUAGGCGGACUGGAAAGUUGGGGGUGAAAUCCCGGGGCUCAACCCCGGAACUGCCUCCAAAACUUCCAAUCUAGAGAUCGAGAGAGGUGAGUGGAAUUCCAAGUGUAGAGGUGAAAUUCGUAGAUAUUUGGAGGAACACCAGUGGCGAAGGCGGCUCACUGGCUCGAUGCUGACGCUGAGGUGCGAAAGCGUGGGGAGCAAACAGGAUUAGAAACCCCAGUAGUCC